AGUCUGUGUUCUUUAUAAACAUGAAAUAUUCAUUGAGGAAAACAAAAUUAAAAAAAUGUCUGUAUAUUUGCCUUGCUUAGUGAAUAUGGUUCAAUGCGGUCUCUAUUAAAUAAGUCAUGAUAUAAAUUAAGACAUGAUACAAAUUAAGACAAUUAUGCUACUAAUACUUUUAGUCUAUCCCCUUUAAAAUGUUUAUUAUCAUUUCA
rnacentral:lncRNA from 1 species